rnacentral:rRNA from 1 species
CCAAUAGCGUAUAUUAAAGUUGUUGCAGUUAAAAAGCUCGUAGUUGAAUUUCGGGAUCAAUAUGUCUGUCGUGCCUUUGGUACGUACGGGUAUAAUUGGUUUCUACCUUCUGAUGAACCUUGAUGCCAUUAAUUUGGUGUCUUGGGGACUCAGGACUGUUACCUUGAAAAAAUUAGAGUGUUUAAAGCAGGCAUACGCUUGAAUACAUUAGCAUGGAAUAAUGAAAUAGGACGUUCGAUUCUAUUUUGUUGGUUUCUAGGAUCGACGUAAUGAUUAAUAGGGAUAGUUUGGGGCAUUAGUAUUCAAUUGUCAGAGGUGAAAUUCUUGGAUUUAUUGAAGACUAACUACUGCGAAAGCAUUUGCCAAGGAUGUUUUCAUUAAUCAAGAACGAAAGUUAGGGGAUCGAAGACGAUCAGAUACCGUCGUAGUCUUAACCAUAAACUAUGCCGACUAGGGAUCGGAUGAUGUUAAUUUUUUAAUGACUCAUUCGGCGCCUUACG